AAGUCGUAACAAGGUCUCCGUAGGUGAACCUGCGGAAGGAUCAUUAACACGUAUCCACGUUUAUCAACCAACCGAGAACCUGUUUUCACCUCUCCCUUUGCCUGGAAUGAACUGAGCAGCGGUAAGUAUUGUUUGGGUUGUCUUCGGGCGACAGCUUAUCGGGCCACUGCGUAUUUCAACUCGAUUCACGUUGGGUUUUGAUGCGCGACAGUUGUAUUCAGGAUUUCAAAAGGACAUACCCCGCUUGGCACUGCUUUUGUCUCCAGACAAGACAGUGGCGUGUCGAGCAACCCCCCUCAUAACCUAUUUCACCCUUACCGAUUUUGCUAGUUGACUUUUUAUAUGUUGUUGUCAGACUCGUGAGAGCUCUGCGGCACACGUUUAAUCUACUUGAACGUUAAAAAAUACAACUCUUAGCAAUGGAUAUCUUGGUUCUC
rnacentral:misc_RNA from 1 species